GCAGGCCCUCUCAGAGGAGCCACCUGGGCUAGGACUGGCUGCCUGGUGGGAGGGGACUCCUGGGGCUGCCCAAGGUGUGGUUGUGGGGCCCUUAUGCCUCCCAGCCAGGAGUGGGGAGAGAGGACUCCCCCACCACCGAUUACCAGAAAGACCUCCUGGCCCCUUCCAGAGAACCCUGGCUCAGGAGCCUGGCGUUGGCGGACACAGUGCCUAGCUGCAGCUUCUGGGCAUUGAGCUUUGCUUGGACACAGGAACUUUCACUUUUGUUUCUUUUUACUUCCCAUAUUCUGGGAGUGCAGUGACCUAGUUUUUAGCGGCCUUAUAUGUCCCUCUCUGCCGAGGAGACUUGAGGGCCUCCAGCACUAUGGGAUCCAGUGCAAACUGACUCCAGCACUCAGGCUGCCUUUAAACUGGCUUCCCCUUAGCAAGCCACCUACUCCUCUGUCUCCCCCUCCUCUUCAGAGCCCCAGGAUACACGUGGUCCCUUCAUCCUGGCUCUUUCUGUGCUGUUGCCUCCUCCAUUCAUGCUUCCUGAGCCAGGAACACCUCCUCCAGGGAGUCCUCCUUUCCUGACGCAUUUGUGGUCACCACUGCACGUGCCACUCAGCCUCAUGCAUCUCCCGUGGUGUCCCACGAGACCCACCGUGGCCUGUCUGGGACAUGGGAGCUAGAAGGGACUUUAGGAUGGGCCUGGACAACCCUGCCACUCAGAUGGGGACCCCCGUCACCUUUGCGGUGUCACCUAUACGGGCCCUUUCCCGCACACUCACACUCGUUCUGAUCAGCGUCUCCUGAGAGAAGCUUGUUUGGGAAACUCCUGCACGUCUUGGGUCAGUUGUUCAUCUUGUCUCCUCUCACUCCUACCCCAGCAGGACCUUAUGGGAUCUCAGGAUUGGAAGGGACUUGAAGGUCCUCUGACUCUCAGGCCUGAGUCCCUCCAAGAGGGACUCACCUGCCUGAAUUCCUUCAGUGGUAGAGAGCUCACUACCUUGUGAGGUAGCUCCUUUUGGUCGCCAGAAAGCUUUGACUAGGAAAGAUCUUUCUUAGGCUGAGCUGAAAUCUGUCAUCCUGCCUUUCUACCCACUGGCCCCAGCUUUCCCCUCUGGGGCCCCAGAAUUCAUCAGAGGCCUCCACCGUGUCUUCCAGAGGCUGAUCCUCUCCAGGCUGAACAUCCCCCAUCCUUGUACCAAUUCCUCAUCAGACCCCUCUUCCAGCCUCAACACACCUCAAAUCACCACUGCCUCUUGCACAAAACAGGGACCAGGCUGGGGAAGCAGCCCGUGGCCCAAGAACCCAUGGGUUCCUGGAGGCCAUGCUACCCAGCUGACCCUUCUUAAACUGGUCAACGAGACCCCCAUCUGGGUCCCAUGAGUUGCUAUGGCCCCUGGCAUUUCCCUGUGAGAUAUUCUUUAAAAGCCUCUCUGACUCCUUAUCCCAAAUACCACAUUACCAUGCUAACCCUGAAAUCUUUUUGUUUAUCAUGGUAAAAAUGCAUAGCAUAAAAUGUAUUAUCUUAACCAUUUUUAAGUGUACAGUUCUGUAGUGUUAAGUAUAUUUACAUUGCUAUGCAACAGAGCUCCACAACUUUUUCAUGUUGCAAAACUGAAACUCUAUACAUGUUAAACAACACCUCUGCCUUUUCUCCUCUCCACUGUAGACCUGAAAUCUUUGUUUUUCCUAUUGACAAGGGCUUGGUCCGUCUGUUGGCCAGGAAGUCCCGAUACUUCAGGUUGUAGCUCCGCCCUCUGCCUUAAUGCCUGUCCCCAUGAUCAGUUUCCACCUCCAUGUCUCCCCACCUCUGCCUGUCAACCAAAACCUCACAAAUCCUGGGGUUCAGAGCCCCCAUAUCCCUGCCCUGCCCACAUUACUCUGACUGGACCUCACUGGACAGCCUCACUGAGCCCAAGUUCUAGAGCUUGCGCCGCGUACUCUUUGUCUAAGCGUCUACUUCCUCCUUCUCAGAAGGCCCACGGACAGCUCCACCAUGCAGGUGUGACCUGCAGUUACCUUCACCUUCUGGGUCUGUAGCUCCCGGGUCUGCAGCCCCCAAACCCCGCAAAGGCAAGCCCUGGGUCUUCUUUCCCUCACGUCUCCUCAGAAAUUCCAUGGGAUUUGACUUGGCCCAGGAGACAUGGGAGAUCUGGCUAUGAGAAAAGGGACUAGGACUCCCUGUUGCAUCAUCUCCUCAGUCUCGGGUGAAAGGCAGCAGAGUAGAAGAAAGGCACCAGUGAAGCUUCCAAACAGUUUCAUAAUGAGGUCCUGAAGGCCCACAAUGAGUACCGGCAGAAGCACGGCGUCCCCCCACUGAAGCUCUGCAAGAACCUCAACCGGGAGGCUCAACAGUAUUCUGAGGCCCUGGCCAGCACGAGGAUCCUCAAGCACAGCCCGGAGUCCAGCCGUGGCCAGUGUGGGGAGAACCUUGCAUGGGCAUCCUAUGAUCAGACAGGAAAGGAGGUGGCUGAUAGAUGGUACAGUGAAAUCAAGAACUAUAACUUCCAGCAGCCUGGCUUCACCUCGGGGACUGGACACUUCACGGCCAUGGUAUGGAAGAACACCAAGAAGAUGGGCGUGGGGAAGGCGUCCGCAAGUGACGGGUCCUCCUUUGUGGUGGCCAGAUACUUCCCAGCGGGGAAUGUUGUCAAUGAGGGCUUCUUCGAAGAAAACGUCCUGCCGCCGAAGAAGUAACUUGUUAAAUGUAAUGGGAAGGUGGCAGACUUAAGAACGUGGAUAUGAAGUGCCUAGAACCACCACAACCUGGCUGUGCGUCUGUCCCUGUGGGUGUAUGUGCUUGUGUGUGUGAUGCAUGUGAGCGUCUCUGGCACACACACUUGGACAUACAGUUCUGUGUGCGCUCAUUCUUAUUACAGGAGUGAGCAAAGGAAGCAUUUACCCCGAUGGUUACCUAGACCACGAUUAUUUGGAUUGGGGGGAGGGGGGAUCCGUUUUUUUUUUUUAAUUUUUUGUUAUUUCUAAGCAAACCUCUUUUGUACUUUUCUUACUUCUAAUAUCCAUCCCUGGACUUUUUGUAUUCCAAAUGUUUGUGAUGCUGAGAAGUGAAGUUCAUUUUAUGUGAUCUUCAUGCGUCGUAAUCUACUUUUGGUAGAUAAUUAAGAUUAUUAAACCCUCAUUUAAAUGUGACAUAAAAUACAGCUUUAAGCACAUAAAUACAAAGCAGCUUCCAUCAGGAACAUGGAGCAGGCAGGGACUCCAUUUUACAGAAUUACUGAGAUUUCUCAGUUGUAAAACAUGAUGUCAUCCUGCAUGCCUCCUGGAAUUCUCCAAUGGGGUCGCCAAACAACAAAUGGAGAAAAAAAGUUUUACUUCCUUGCAUUCUUCUACCUUUAAAUAGCAAAGUACCACUACCACCACCACCUCUUGCCCCCUUCCCUCUUUUCUUAAACUUCUGGCAUUUCAGAGCUCAGCAGGCUACCCCUGGUUUCUGGAGAGUUGGGCUAGGCCUGAAGCUCCCCCUCCCCCACCUCUGCUAGGCAGCCCAGGCCUGGUCUGGGAGACAGCCCCUCACCCUGCCUGGGCUCUUGGCCAAGCGGCCUUGGAUGGAUGAAGUCAGAGAGGUGGGGUGAGGGUGAGCUUACUCAGGGCCCCCAGAGGAAGCCCUCAGCCUCUGCCCUCCCCCCACACAGGGCGGGAGCCCAGGCCUGUUCCUGGCAGCUGUGGCUGCAGCUGUGCUCCUGCUCCCUCCUGGAAUGUGCGACAAGCCCAAAUGUUCCGGGGAGGCGGCCGGGGCAGGGGGCUUAGAAGUGCUAAUAUGGUUCUGUGUUUUGCCUGAAACGAUACCAGGUUCCCCUGAAUAGCAACUUUACAAGGUCCAUGUGGGAGGGACCAACCCAGAUGCCCUGCUGAGUGUCCCUGAAACCAUGGCAGCUCCAUCUGUCAAGAUGGCAGGGGCCGGAGUGAGGGGGCUGCUGGCUUAACAGCAGGCAUCUGGGCAGGCCAGUCCUCAAAGCAGCUCCUGAAGGUCUGUGUUGCACUGUCACCAGUCUCAAGCUAUGCCUCUAAUUUCACCAGGGAUAUUG
rnacentral:lncRNA from 1 species